CCUACGGGUGACAGCAGUCGAGAAUCAUUCACAAUGGGGGAAACCCUGAUGGUGCGACGCCGCGUGGGGGAAUGAAGGUCUUCGGAUUGUAAACCCCUGUCAUGUGGGAGCAAAUUAAAAAGAUAGUACCACAAGAGGAAGAGCCGGCUAACUCUGUGCCAGCAGCCGCGGUACUACAGAGGUCUCAAGCGUUGUUCGGAAUCACUGGGCGUAAAGCGUGCGUAGGCUGUUUCGUAAGUCGUGUGUGAAAGGCGCGGGCUCAACCCGCAGACGGCACAUGAUACUGCGAGACUAGAGUAAUGGAGGGGGAACCGGAAUUCUCGGUGUAGCAGUGAAAUGCGUAGAUAUCGAGAGGAACACUCGUGGCGAAGGCGGGUUCCUGGACAUUAACUGACGCUGAGGCACGAAGGCCAGGGGAGCGAAAGGGAUUAGAUACCCGGGUAGUC
rnacentral:rRNA from 1 species